rnacentral:rRNA from 1 species
ACGGAGGGGGCAAGCGUUGUUCGGGAUUACUGGGCGUAAAGAGUGCGUAGGCGGCCGUGUAAGUCUGGUGUGAAAUCUUCACCGCUCAACGGGAAGAGGUCACUGGAAACUGCGCGGCUUGAGGGUGGGAGAGGCAAGCGGAAUUCCUGGUGUAGGGGUGGAAUGUGUAGAUAUCUGGAGGAACACCGGUGGCGAAGGCGGCUUCCUGGGCCGUUACUGACGCUGAGGUGCGAAAGCGUGGGGAUCAAACAG